rnacentral:rRNA from 1 species
GAUGAGCGCUGGCGGCGUGCCUAAUACAUGCAAGUCGAGCGGUAACAGGUCUAGUUUACUAGAUGCUGACGAGCGGCGGACGGCUGAGUAACACGUAGGAACGUACCCCAAAGUGAGGGAUAACUGCUCGAAAGAGUAGCUAAUACCGCAUGUGAUCUAAGGAUUAAAGCUUUAUGCGCUUUGGGAACGGCCUGCGUUCGAUUAGCUAGUUGGUGAGGUAANAGCUCACCAAGGCGAUGAUCGAUAGCUGGUCUGAGAGGAUGAUCAGCCAGACUGGGACUGAGACACGGCCCAGACUCCUACGGGAGGCAGCAGUAGGGAAUUUUCCACAAUGGACGAAAGUCUGAUGGAGCAACGCCGCGUGCA